rnacentral:tRNA from 1 species
GGGGUUAUGGCUCAGUGGUAGAGCACUUGCCUAGCAUGUGUGAGGCACUGGGUUUGAUCCCCAGUACCA